GUCUAUGGCCAUACCACCCUGAACAUGUCGGAUCUUAUCUGAUCUUGGAAGCUAAGCAGGAUUGGGCCUGGUUAGAUGGGAGACUAAAGUUU
rnacentral:rRNA from 1 species